rnacentral:rRNA from 1 species
GGCGAACGCUGGCGGCAGGCCUAACACAUGCAAGUCGAACGGAUCCUUCGGGAUUAGUGGCGGACGGGUGAGUAACACGUGGGAACGUGCCCUUUGGUUCGGAACAACUCAGGGAAACUUGAGCUAAUACCGGAUGUGCCCUUCGGGGGAAAGAUUUAUCGCCAUUGGAGCGGCCCGCGUCUGAUUAGCUAGUUGGUGAGGUAACGGCCCACCAAGGCGACGAUCAGUAGCUGGUCUGAGAGGAUGAUCAGCCACACUGGGACUGAGACACGGCCCAGACUCCUACGGGAGGCAGCAGUGGGGAAUCUUGCGCAGUGGGCGAAAGCCUGACGCAGCCAUGCCGCGUGAAUGAUGAAGGUCUUAGGAUUGUAAAAUUCUUUCAGCGGGGACGAUAAUGACGGUACCCGCAGAAGAAGCUCCGGCUAACUUCGUG